CCCUUAGAUGUUCUGGGCCGCACGCGCGCUACACUGACGGAGUCAACGAGUUGUCCUGCAUCGGAAGGUGUGGGUAAUCUUUUGAAACUUCGUCGUGCUGGGGAUAGAUCUUUGCAAUUUUCGAUCUUGAACGAGGAAUUCCUAGUAAGCGUGAUUCAUCAGAUCGCGUUGAUUACGUCCCUGCCCUUUGUACACACCGCCCGUCGCUCCUACCGAUUGAAUGGUCCGGUGAAGCGUUCGGACCGUGGCCUUUGGACGGUUCGCCGUCUGUUGGCUGCGGGAAGUUCGUUAAACCUUAUCAUUUAGAGGAAGGAGAAGUCGUAACA
rnacentral:rRNA from 1 species